UACCCAGAAAGACCAGUGUUGAAUACAACUUCCCCUGCUGUGGAGGAUGGAUAGCCAAAAGAAUAGCCCUUCAUCUUCAUCCCAUCUUCCAGCACCAAGUUCGCAUCACUUACCUGAGCUCUGGGUGACAGUCACAGGUACUUUGGAUUUAUCCUGGGCAGCAGCAGGUCCAACUGACCAUAACCAUUUAGAAAACAACAUACUGAAACGAAACUGCUUGGCAACAGGCAGGAUAAUUUGGGAGAAGUAUCUUUGUCGUUAAGUGAUCUGGAAAAAGAAAAAGAGAAUACAAGAGGAAUCAAAGACAAAAGAAAGACUCUAAAGGUGAAAUGCCUUGCGCUGGAAGUUAAUACUGAACUGUGCCUGGGGGAAAGACAGCAGAGAGUAUUGUUUUGACCUGCAGAUGGAAGGGAAACCACAGGGCUGGGAAUUUAGCCAUAAGCAAAAGACCCCACAUUAUUUUUGCUGAUGCUAGAGCUGUAUAACCUUCCUCCCAGACUUGAAUGCAAGGCAAUGACAUGAUUGAAACUCUCUAAACAAGAAACAGCUGAGUGAAAAGGAACUGAAAGCAAAUCCAAUUGGGAUUCCCUCUUUGCUGCUUGGUUGUCACCACCUCCUGCAAUAAUAUCUUUUUUUCUUU